rnacentral:rRNA from 1 species
CCUACGGGUGGCAGCAGUAGGGAAUUUUCGGCAAUGGGGGGAACCCUGACCGAGCAACGCCGCGUGAACGAAGAAGUUAUUCGUAAUGUAAAGUUCUUUUAACAGGGAAGAAAGAGAAAUUUGACGGUACCUGAAGAAUAAGCUCCGGCUAACUACGUGCCAGCAGCCGAGGUAAUACGUAGGGAGCGAGCGUUAUCCGGAUAAAUUGGGAGUAAAGGUUUCGUUGAUGGCAUAGUUAGUCUUUUUGAAAAAUGCUGGGCUAAACCCAGUAGGGCAAAAGAGACUGAAAAGCUAGAGUAUGACAGAGGCAAGUGGAACUACAUGUGUAGCGGUAGAAUGCGUAAAUAUAUGUAAGAACACCAGUGGCGAAGGCGGCUUGCUGGGUCGAUACUGACAUUGAGGCACGAAAGCGUGGGGAGCAAACAGGAUUAGAUACCCUAGUAGUC